UACAGAGGGUGCGAGCGUUAAUCGGAAUUACUGGGCGUAAAGCGCGCGUAGGCGGCUUUGCAAGUCGGGUGUGAAAUCCCCAGGCUUAACCUGGGAACUGCAUUCGAGACUGCAUUGCUAGAGUAUGGGAGAGGGAAGUGGAAUUUCCGGUGUAGCGGUGAAAUGCGUAGAUAUCGGAAGGAACAUCAGUGGCAAAAGCGACUUCCUGGACCAAUACUGACGCUCAUGUGCGAAAGCGUGGGGAGCAAACAGG
rnacentral:rRNA from 1 species